AGGAUGUGCGGGCAGGACCUGGCCUUCUGGAUCAGCAAGGUUUGCAGAGCACAAGAUCAGUGGAAGUGGGAGCUCGGCAACCUGAAUGGGGCCGGACCUGUGUCGGUGUGCACUGGGGGAGUGUUCCCAUGCAGUGUAAUGCGAGCCCAGAUCACUGGUGAAAGGAUGCACGUAGAUCUCCCAGGAAAUUAGAAGUGACAUGGCUCACUUAGACACAUGGUAAGAUUUAUGCAAGCAAGAUCGGCUCUCUGACAACUCGGAAGGACUCCUGCCACUACCCAGAGCUAAAUAUAACUCGUAUAAAUUCCC